rnacentral:lncRNA from 1 species
UUUGUUUGAUUCAUUUAGAAAUAAACUUAGCUAAAAAUAUGAAUCAACUAGAAUUUAAAUUUGGAAUCUCGGGUAUCAACCACCAAACCCUUUGCCACUUGCUCUAGGAACGGUCGGUUCUUUUCUAAGAAAAUUAGUAUAAUUUAUUUGAUGCGUUAAUUUUAAAAAUUUACUCUAAUUUAAAAUUUUUUUGUAAAAAUAUAUAAAAUUUAUUUCAACUAUAAUUUAUUUGAAUUUGACUAUUUAAUAUUUCGAAAUUUUCAUUUUACUAUCUAAUCUUUCAAUUUAUUUGAUUUGAAUCGGUCGUUUGAAUUUUGAUUGAUUCAAAUUAAAUAAAUUAACAAGUUAGAUAAUAAAAUAAUAAUUUUGAAAGAUUGGAUAGUCAAAUUCAAACGAUCUAUAGUUCAGAUAAAUUUCAUACAAUUUUACUAAACUUUUUAAUCAAAUCUCGAUAUAUAUUAGAUGAUGAAUUCGGAAGAAACCUAGCAAAAAAAAUAUGUGAGUAUCUAAUAUUUUGCAGAAAAGAUUUAAAUGGAAACCACACGAAUUGUAAAGUUGUGGGAGUGGUGCAUGGAGCAGUCUCACGUUUGAAAUUAUUUCUAUCGAUUUUUUUUUUAACUUUUGAUGAAAAAUUAUAGGAUUAGAAUGAUAUUAAUUUCUUAGAGUUGAGUGGUCCCCCUAUGGUUGAGUGGUCCCCACUGAAUUAUAAUAUUUAAUCUAAUGGUUAUAAAUGAUCAAAGAAACUAAUCCAAAGGAUAAAAACUUAAUAACAAAAAAGGAUAAAUACUAUUAAAAUACAAUGUAGAAAUGGAAAAUAAUAUAAGACAAAAAAUAAAAAUAAUUUUAAAAUACAAUGUGGAAAUUGAUAAUAGAUGAUGGCUUUGAAUUUUGACAAAAAUAGUAUAACAUAGUAAAUAAAAGGAUAAUAAUCUAUACACCCCUCAAAACUUCUGAAAUAUAUUAGCUAUCCCUACUUUUUUUUGUUUUAAAUAUACUCCUCAUAUAUUUCUACUUUAUUAAAAAAAACUUAUUGUUAGUGCCCGUUAAAUCAUCUCGAGUUAAAUCUGAGUUAAAUUUCUAUUAUAAGUAUAUACUUAUUUUGUUCAUAACUUAAAAGCAAAUAAGAAAAGUUAGUCGUGAUAGAAAGGUAUAUAUAUUUGAAAUGGCAAAAAAGUAAAAAUACUUUUUUUGCUCCACACUUAAGGAGAAAUAAGAAAAGUUGGUGACUGUACAUAGAAGUGUAUAUUUAAAAGAAUAAAUAGUAAAUUUAUAAAGAUAACAGCUGUUCUUAACAGUUUACUAACAAAAUUUAACUCUAGAGUUAUAUUUUUUUCUGAAAAAAACUGAAACUUUAAAAGUAUAUUUUUAAUAUUAUUCUUCUAAU